UGAGGAAUAUUGGACAAUGGGUGAGAGCCUGAUCCAGCCAUCCCGCGUGAAGGACGACGGCCCUAUGGGUUGUAAACUUCUUUUGUAUAGGGAUAAACCUACCCUCGUGAGGGUAGCUGAAGGUACUAUACGAAUAAGCACCGGUCAAUCUCG
rnacentral:rRNA from 1 species